CCACAUCUAGCACACACGCUUUUCACAUAACAUUUGAAAAGAAUUUUGGUGCAUCCUGGAUGAAAGGCUUCUUGGAGACUGAAUUCGGGUGGACUCCUGGAUCUCCAGUAUAUAUAUUAAUCCAGGAAAUUGUCCUAUGGAAAAUAAAAAAUAUAAGAACCAUGAGCUGAAGGCAUGCUUGUAAUUAAAACAACCUACAUGUAAUCCGCCAGGGAGAAUGAUACUACAAAAAAGGUUAAAUCUCUUGUACUGAAAACCGUGCAAAGGAGUGCCCCCACUGUAAUAAUAUAAAUUUCCUGGGACGUAUAUUUAAUAGCUCAAUUUUGUUCAAAUUUCUGGGAAUAUUAAUCAUAAAGCCGAAGAACGCAUGAAAGAGCAAACCAAAUAUAUCUACCGUACGACACCGAAAAAGAUGUCCAUUGGAACUAUUUUGUUAACAAAAUUGACAACCACAAUAACCAUAACAAUCCUCCACAAAAGGCUGGUAUACACCAGAAUACUUUCACUCAUAAAUUCUGUCCAAAAGCUAAGGUUUAUUCUUAGAUGCAAAUAUACUAUCAACUCAUAAAGCUAAGAUAUCCCUUUGGACUAGAUCACCUAAGCUAGCACUAAUAUCGACUUUUACUUUGCAAAAAAUCAGAAGAUCUUCACACUUUCCUCUGUCCCAAAUCUAAUAGGUUUACAACCCUGAUAUAUGCAUUGACCACUGUCAGGUUGCAUUUGAAAAGCACAAGGGGAAAAGGCACAACAACCACGUGUAGGGCUGCUCCGAGAAACUCAGAUGCUUAGUUUUCAUCUUGAUGUUGUAAGGUAGCAGAGACUCCAUAGAAACAAACACAUCGAAGCAAAGAGAAAAGAAGAAAAAUGGCUACAUAGCAAGCAAUGAUAAUGAAAGAGAUUUUCAGUUAUCACUGACCACCAGAACACUAUCGGCUCCAUAAAAAUGGCUUGGUAUUGACUGUUGAAUGACAGAAGAACUGAAUAUACAAGAAUAAGCCAUAAGGCACACUUCUCACAAAAAAGAGAUGGCCACCAUCAAGAAGCACGGGCCUAGUAUGUCUGUAAUAACAGAGAUGCUAUUGUUCAAUAUAAGUAAACUAUUCCAUGAGCAAAAGGAAAACAUGCAUGUAGCUAGAAAUCAAAGAAUACACAUGUAGCUAGAAAGAAAGGAAGCAAACCUCGAGCAGCAAAACAGAGUUACAACAAAACAGAAGAUCAACAUGCAGCAACAUAGGAGAUCGCAUAACCUGGUAAAUAAACAUAAAUGAAGUAGUCAGAGCAGGCAAAGAAAACUUCAUGCGCUAAGGCAUUAAAACAUUUUACAGUUCAGUUUGCAAGUUCAAAUUGACACCAUGGCGGCGCACAACUAUAGAGUAAAAGAUGGAUUGCAACUGAAAUAUCUCUCCUUGUAUUUCCUAUAUCCCACACACCUAAAUUAAACCAGCAAGUUAGCAUGUAAUUAUUAACAAAGAAACACCACAACAACCUAAUCAACCAUAUCCCUUCUUUAAUAUUUCCUUUCUUUUUUGUAAUUCUAUUUUUUCAACAUGUCACAAGGAUUUAUGCCAAUUUAAUCUCACACUAAGAUCCAAACUUAGUGUGUGGCAUAUAUGUUAAUACCCCCAACCUAAAAUCUGAGAAGAGCAAGAACAACAAAACUGAGAAAGUUCCCUUGGUUAUUCUAAGUUUUUGUCACGCCCAAUAUGCGACCCUAUCCAAAAGGAACUCGAAGGUCCCACUAAGGAUAGACCCGCAUAUUAAAACGCUUUCGCAAGGUGGAUAUCAUUACAUCAACAUUACAUAAUAGAUGGGGAUACAUACAAGAGGCAUACAAUGCCACACGAAUAGAUCAAUACAUCAUACAUAAGAUCACCAUCCGACUACGGAUGAAACACAAAUAGAAACUCAAACGACAUCCACCCUGCUAGCCCAGGCUGCCGACCUGGAACCUAUCCCCUGAUCGAAGAAGAAGCAGAAGAAGAACUCCAGAAACAAGCAAACAUCGCUCUCGCGUCAAGAUCAUCGCAUAACCUGUACCUGCAACUGUUGUUGUAGUAAUCUGUGAGCCACGAGGACUCAGCAAUCCCAUAACCAUGGGUAUCAAGACUAGAAAAGCUUAAUGGGAAAGGAAGGGGUAAAGUGGUGAGGUUACGGCAGCGACUAAGCAUGAUAUGGUGGCUAACAUACGCAAAUAAGAGCGAGAAGAGAACAAGCGGAACGGUCGUCAACUAGCAAUGAUCAAGAAGUGAUCCUGAACUCCUACUUACGUCAAACAUAACCCAAAGACCGUGUUCACUUCCCGGACUCCGCCGAGAAGAGACCAUCACGGCUACACACGCGGUUGAUGCGUUUUAAUUCGGAUCUGGUGUCAAGUUAUCUACAACCGGACAUUAACAAAUUCCCAUCUGCCACAUAACCACGGGCACGGCUCUCGAAAGUUUAAUACCCUGCAGGGGUGUCCCAACUUAGCCCAUGAUAAGCUCUCGCGAUCAACGAAGGAUAUACCUUCUCCCAGGAAGACCCGAUCAGUCUCGGAAUCCCGGUUUACAAGACAUUUCGACAAUGGUAAAACAAGACCAGCAAAGCCGCCUGAUGCGUCGACAAUCCCGAUAGGAGCUGCACAUAUCUCGUUCUCAGGGCAACACCAGAUAAGUCAAGCUACGAGUAAAACCAGACGUCGAGUUGCCCCGAGGUGGCCCCGCAGGUUGCUCGGUUCGGGCCAACACUUAGACAAGCACUGGCCCGGGGGGGCUAAAAUAAAGAUGACCCCUGGGUUGGCCGACCCAGGGGAAGGGUAUAGGUGGUGUUGAGGCAAAUGGUAAAACCAAGGUUGGGCCUUGCUGGACAAGUUUUAUUCAAAGCGAACUGUCAAGGGGUUCCCAUAAAUCACCCGACCGCGUUAGGAACGCAAAAUACGGGAACAUAACACCGGUAUGACGGAAACUAGGGCGGCAAGAGUGGAAAAAAACACCAGGCAUAAGGCCGAGCCUUCCACCCUUUACCAAGUAUAUAGAUGCAUUAAUUAAAUAAGAGAUAUCGUGAUAUCCCAACAUAAUCCUAUCCACCAUGGAGCAAUCUUCAACUUCACCUGCAACUAACAACGCUAUGAGAGGGGCUGAGCAAAGCGGUAACAUAGCCAAACAACGGUUUGCUAGGAAGGGUGUCAAAGGUUAGAGGUUCAUGGCAAUAUGGGAGGCUUGAUAGAACAAGUUAUAGGAAGCGCAGCAUAGCGAUAGAACGAAGCCACUAGCAUAGCAAUGAUAGUAGUGAGAUCCAGGGUAGCGGUCAUCUUGCCUGAAAUCCCGCUAGGAAGAAGAACGAGUCCAUGAAGAAGAUGAAGCCACGAAGACGAACCACACGUAGACGAACGAAUCCUCACGAUCGCAACGAAAAGGGAACUAUCGAGAAGAAGCACACAACAUGGUAAACACACCACACAUAGUGAAGACAUGAUGCACAACCAAGCAUGAUGCAUGACAAAGCUAGAUGAGGCUACUCAUGGCAAGAGAUGAUGCAAACAAGAACAACACAUUAAAGCAAGUUUAAAUGAGGCCGGAAACAACAUAUAACAAUUCCGGUAAGUCCUCAUAUGCAAAUUUCGAAAUUGGUCCAGAACUGAAUAAACCUUAUGUUCAAGUUGUUAAACAGCAAGUUAAGAUGCACCAAGAUGAUCUACACGAGAUUCUAGUCAAGUUACAUAUAAAGUUCAUUAGAUUUGGAGCUACGGCCUAGAAGAUAUGAGCAAAACAAGUUAAACAUGGCAUUGAUGCAAAAUGCAUUCAAACAUCAAGCAAACACCUCAAAACAAGGAUGCAACAUGAUAAUAUGAAACAACAUGCAAAAUCAAGCAAGUUUCAUAUAAAGCACACUCAAAACGGAGCAACGGUACAACACAUACUCUAUAAAAGUUAUAGCAACAAUCUGUCCAUAACAGCAACUAGGCACCUUACAAGCAUCAAAACAACAAGCUACAACAUCUCACCGUAAUAACAAAAGGCAUGGGCAUGAAGUACAGGUAAAGCAUAACUAAACAUGAACACUGAGCUAUCUCUAGAAACAACUAGAACAUGCUCAAAAGGACAUGGAAAGAUUGCACCUAAUAACAGUUUCAGACUUAUCAGGAAAUAACAUCAGGUUGCAAUGUUUAGAGCUAUCAAACAACAUGUUACAGGAACUUAUCAUGGCAAACAUAGGCAUUGAAUGAAUCUACUAAUUGCAUAGAACAAAAGUCCCUUACUGACCAUGAGCCAAAAGGGCACAGAAAAUAUGAUGGCACCCAUGUAAACAUGGCAAAAGAUAUGACAGAUUCAUACAUGGCAGGAACAACGUUCAGUAGGCAUGUUGGUGAGCUUGAAUCACUCACCACAGAGCAAUACAUGGCAUGGCAAGGCAACCAACAGUAAGAAUACAUGUUUAUAAAGCUAAGCAUGGCAAGAGCAAGUUCAUAGGGUACAUGGAUCACUAGAAAAGCACAUGGCCAAAACUAAACUUCAUGUUAACAGGCUGACAGCAACAUUAUUUAGCAAGUUUGGAGCAAGAUUACAACAAGCUACAGGAGACUAUAAAUUCAACCAGGGGCAUUAAUGGAUAGAGCAGGACAUGUAUAACAAAGCAUCCUUAGUGAACAUCUCCAGAUUAUGCAUAGAAUGACUUGUAGCAGCAGGUUUACAUAGCAACAAAAUAUCACAGAAUCAGUCAGGAAAACAGCAACAGCAAGUACCCUACUUAACAAGCUCGAUGCACUCACUACACAACCCACAAAAAUACAUGGAUGGCACCACUGGAAAGAUGACAUAGAAUAGAUCAAAACACAAGUAGAGCUCAACCUCACAGGAUGCACACAUCAAACAUGGCAAAAAUGACAAAUGAGCAUGUUAUAACAGUUUCAGCAGAUUAACAGCAACAUGCACUCUUACAAUGAUGAUUCGGGCAUCAAUAUGAGCUCAAAUGAACAUGAUGCAAUGGAAUAAAAUGAAGUACUCGUCGAGGCAAACAAUUUGACAUAUUACACGCACGAAACGGAGAAGUAUGCAACAAGUUAUGAUGCGACAAAUAUGGCAUGAAAAUAUGCAGAUCUGGGGACUUGAUGAAAAUAUACCCUCGCGAAGAAACGGGACGAAGGCGUUCCGGGACGAGGGGAUCCAGGACGGGCGCGCCGUUUGGUUCGGAAACUCGGUGGAUCUCGUCCCACCUGGAGGAUCUGACCGGAGGAGAGCUCCGGCGAGCUCUCCGACGAGGAAGACGCGGGGAGGAGGGCCGGCGAAGCUUGCGNNNNNNNNNNNNNNNNNNNNNNNNNNNNNNNNNNNNNNNNNNNNNNNNNNNNNNNNNNNNNNNNNNNNNNNNNNNNNNNNNNNNNNNNNNNNNNNNNNNNNNNNNNNNNNNNNNNNNNNNNNNNNNNNNNNNNNNNNNNNNNNNNNNNNNNNNNNNNNNNNNNNNNNNNNNNNNNNNNNNNNNNNNNNNNNNNNNNNNNNNNNNNNNNNNNNNNNNNNNNNNNNNNNNNNNNNNNNNNNNNNNNNNNNNNNNNNNNNNNNNNNNNNNNNNNNNNNNNNNNNNNNNNNNNNNNNNNNNNNNNNNNGGGCCCGGUGCGGCCCGGGGCGGGCUCCCCGUGGGCCGAGCAGGCCGCGGCGGCGGGGAGGAGAGAGAGGAGGCGCGGGGACACGUGGCGUGCCGUGAUUCGUCCGGCGCGGUGGCUGGACGUGUCCGGCGGCGGAGUGGACAUGUCCGGCGCGCGAAGGUGGAAGAGGCUAGGGUUUGCACCGCAAAUUUCGGAGGGGAAGCUGUAUUUAUAGGUAGAAGGAGCUAGGAGUGUCCAAAUGGAGUGCGGUUUUCGGCCACGCGAUCGUGAUCGAAAGACCGAGAGCAUGGAAGAGACUAAGAUGGGUUUUGGGCCACUUUGGAAGGGGUGUUGGGCUGCAAAGAGAAGGAGGCUUUUACGGUUACCCGGUUAACCGUUGGAGUAUCACACGACCUCCAAAUGGCACGAAACUUGACAGGCGGUCUACCGGUGCUAUACCAAGGCCGCUUGGCAAACCUCGGGCCAUUCCGAGAAAGUUUAAUACCCGCUCACAACAGAAGACAAAAGGGGAACACCGGAUGACAUAGGAGUGCCGGAUUGCAAAACAGACAACGGGGAAAAAGCUCGGAUGCAUGAAACGAACAAGUAUGCAAAUGCGACGCACAUGAUGACAUGAUAUGAAAUGCAUAUGAUGACAUGGCAAAGUGCAACACGCAAGCAAAAGACAUGGCAACGACGGCGAAUAACUGGCAGACAACUGGCGCAACGAAUCCGGGGCGUUACAGUUUUCGUCGAACUGGCAAAAUCAUUUGUAGGCAACUCAAGUUAUACGCCGCGUGCAAGAAGUGAACUUCCUCAGAAACCUCACAAAUGUACGACAAGUCAGGUAAGUAACACUAUAUUGAGGAUGAAAAAAAAUGCUUAUCGAUACAUGAGUUGAGAAACCAAUCAUAUACCUUCAGAUUCAAUGACACAAUUAUCCUCGAAAGAUCUUAAGCCUGGAGGUCCCUUCAACUGAACAAAAAACAGCAAGUCUGCAUAUCAAUCAACAACACAAGAGACAUCUUGUUAGCAAAUCCAGCAGUAAACGAAAAAACACGCUACUAAUUCUUAAUAUCAUUAACCUAUAAGAUUUGUACACGCAAAGUCAUGUUAGUGAUUCUUACACCAAAUCAGUAUACCACCGCCAUAGUACUACACCGUCUAAUUACUAUAUGAUUGUCAGACUGAAG
rnacentral:lncRNA from 1 species